rnacentral:rRNA from 1 species
UACGUAGGUGGCAAGCGUUGUCCGGAUUUAUUGGGUUUAAAGGGUGCGUAGGCGGCCCUGUAAGUCAGUGCUGAAAUAUCCCGGCUUAACCGGGAGGGUGGCAUUGAUACUGCAGGGCUUGAGUACAGAUGAAGUAGGCGGAAUUGACGGUGUAGCGGUGAAAUGCAUAGAUAUCGUCAAGAACACCGAUAGCGAAGGCAGCUUACUAAGUUGUAACUGACGCUGAGGCACGAAAGUGUGGGGAUCAAACAGG